GACGAACGCUGGCGGCGUGCCUAAUACAUGCAAGUAGAACGCUGAAGAGAGGAGCUUGCUCUUCUGGGAUGAGUUGCGAACGGGUGAGUAACGCGUAGGUAACCUGCCUUGUAGCGGGGGAUAACUAUUGGAAACGAUAGCUAAUACCGCAUAACAAUGGAUGACACAUGUCAUUUAUUUGAAAGGGGCAAUUGCUCCACUACAAGAUGGACCUGCGUUGUAUUAGCUAGUAGGUGAGGUAAUGGCUCACCUAGGCGACGAUACAUAGCCGACCUGAGAGGGUGAUCGGCCACACUGGGACUGAGACACGGCCCAGACUCCUACGGGAGGCAGCAGUAGGGGAUCUUCGGCGAUGGGGGCAACCCUGACCGAGCCACGCCGCGUGAGUGAAGAAGGUUUUCGGAUCGUUAAGCUCUGUUGUAAGUCAAGAACGGGGGUGAGAGUGGAAAGUUCACACUGUGACGGUAGCUUACCAGAAAGGGACGGCUAACUACGUG
rnacentral:rRNA from 1 species